AGUGAACGCUGGCGGUAGGCCUAACACAUGCAAGUCGAACGGCAGCACAGUAAGAGCUUGCUCUUACGGGUGGCGAGUGGCGGACGGGUGAGGAAUACAUCGGCAUCUACUUUUUCGUGGGGGAUAACGUAGGGAAACUUACGCUAAUACCGCAUACGACCUACGGGUGAAAGCAGGGGAUCUUCGGACCUUUGCCGUUUCAUGUAGCCGAUGCCGGAUUAGCUAGUUGGCGGGGUAAGGGCCCACCAAGGCGACGAUCCGUAGCUGGUCUGAGAGGAUGAUCAGCCACACUGGAACUGAGACACGGUCCAGACUCCUACGGGAGGCAGCAGUGGGGAAUAUUGGACAAUGGGCGCAAGCCUGAUCCAGCCAUACCGCGUGGGUGAAGAAGGCCUUCGGGUUGUAAAGCCCUUUUGUUGGGAAAGAAAAGCAGCAGGUUAAUACCCCGCUGUUCUGACGGUACCCAAAGAAUAAGCACCGGCUAACUUCGUG
rnacentral:rRNA from 1 species